rnacentral:rRNA from 1 species
GAUGAACGCUGGCGGCGUGCCUAAUACAUGCAAGUCGAGCGAACAGACGAGGAGCUUGCUCCUCUGACGUUAGCGGCGGACGGGUGAGUAACACGUGGAUAACCUACCUAUAAGACUGGGAUAACUUCGGGAAACCGGAGCUAAUACCGGAUAAUAUAUUGAACCGCAUGGUUCAAUAGUGAAAGACGGUUUUGCUGUCACUUAUAGAUGGAUCCGCGCCGCAUUAGCUAGUUGGUAAGGUAACGGCUUACCAAGGCAACGAUGCGUAGCCGACCUGAGAGGGUGAUCGGCCACACUGGAACUGAGACACGGUCAAGACUCCUACGGGAGGCAGCAGUAGGGAAUCGUCCGCAAUGGGCGAAAGCUUGACGGAGCAACGCCGCGUGAGUGAUGAAGGUCUUCGGAUCGUAAAACUCUGUUAUUAGGGAAGAACAAAUGUGUAAGUAACUAUGCACGUCUUGACGGUACCUAGUCAGAAAGCCACGGCUAACUACGUG